rnacentral:rRNA from 1 species
CUCAAAUGUAUGUUGACGUAUUCUGAAAGGGAUACUUCUUCGGACAAUAUACAAGGUGCUGCAUGGUUGUCGUCAGCUCGUGCCGUGAGGUGUCGGGUUAAGUCCCAUAACGAGCGCAACCCCUAUCAUUAGUUGCCAUCAGGUCAAGCUGGGGACUCUAAUGAAACUGCCUACGCAAGGUAGUGAGGAAGGUGGGGAUGACGUCAAAUCAGCACGGCCCUUACGUCCUGGGCUACACACGUGCUACAAUGGCCGGUACAGAGCGCAGCGAUACCGCGAGGUGGAGCAAAUCGCAGAAAGCCGGUCUCAGUACGGAUUGGAGUCUGAAACCCGACUUCAUGAAGGUGGAAUCGCUAGUAAUCGCGCAUCAGCAUGGCGCGGUGAAUACGUUCCCGGGCCUU